CGGGUGAGUAACACGUGAGUAAGCCGCCCUUGACUCUUGGAAAAGCCUGGGGAACUGGGUCUAAUACCGGAGACAACCAUCUGGCGUAGUCAGGGUGGUGGAAAGCUUUUGUGGUUUUGGAUGGACUCCUGGCCUAUCAGCUUGUUGGUGGGGUAAUGGCCUACCAAGGCGACGACCGGUAGCCCGCCCGAGACGGUGACUAGCCACACUGGGACUGAUACACGGCCCAGACUCCGGCCGGGGGCACCGGUGUGAAAUAUUGCAUAAUGGGCGCAAGCCUGAUGCAGCGACGCCGCGUGAGGGAUGACGGCCUUCGGGUUGUAAACCUCUUUCAGUAGGGAAGAAGCCGUAAGGUGACGGUACCUGCAGAAGAAGCGCCGGCUAACUACGUGCCAGCAGCCGCGGUAAUACGUAGGGCGCAAGCGUUAUCCGGAAUUAUUGGGCGUAAAGAGCUCGUAGGCGGUUUGUCGCGUCUGCUGUGAAAGACCGGGGCUCAACUCCGGUUCUGCAGUGGGUACGGGCAGACUAGAGUGCAGUAGGGGAGACUGGAAUUCCUGGUGUAGCGGUGAAAUGCGCAGA
rnacentral:rRNA from 1 species